AGGCCAGACUCCUACGGGAGGCAGCAGUGGGGGAUAUUGCACAAUGGGGGGAACCCUGAUGCAGCGACGCCGCGUGGGUGAAGGAGCGUUUCGGCGCGUAAAGCCCUAUCGGCAGGGAAGAAGGAGGACGGUACCUGACUAAGAAGCCCCGGCUAACUACGUGCCAGCAGCCGCGGUAAUACGUAGGGGGCAAGCGUUAUCCGGAUUCACUGGGUGUAAAGGGAGCGUAGACGGCGACGCAAGUCUGGAGUGAAAGCCCGGGGCCCAACCCCGGGACUGCUCUGGAAACUGCGUCGCUGGAGUACGGGAGGGGCAGGCGGAAUUCCUGGUGUAGCGGUGAAAUGCGUAGAUAUUAGGAGGAACACCAGUGGCGAAGGCGGCCUGCUGGACUGCAACUGACGUUGAGGCUCGAAGGCGUGGGGAGCAAACAGGAUUAGAUACCCGAGUA
rnacentral:rRNA from 1 species